CAAAACAACUUAAAAACACUCAAAACUGCCUAAAAACACAAACUGGGCAGAUUUGACUCUAACACAACUUUAGACGAAUUUAGUGUUUUGACUUAAAUCAAAACACUCUAAAACACAAACAAAACAGAUUUUAAACACUUUGGAACAAGAAAGUAAAAUAGGGGUUUUGAUUUGUAUGAAUUUGAAAUAAACAAGCAAGUUAUAAAACUAGGCAGAUUAUAAAUUGAAUUUGAGAAAUAAAUUGAAUUUGAGAAAUAAAAUGAUGGAUGGAUUAGUUAGAGGUCCGUUCUUCACACAUGACACA
rnacentral:lncRNA from 1 species